GUAACAAGGUUUCCGUAGGUGAACCUGCGGAAGGAUCAUUACUGUGAUUUACUACUACACUGCGUGAGCGGAACGAAAACAACAACACCUAAAAUGUGGAAUAUAGCAUAUAGUCGACAAGAGAAAUCUACGAAAAAACAAACAAAACUUUCAACAACGGAUCUCUUGGUUCUCGCAUCGAUGAAGAGCGCAGCGAAAUGCGAUACCUAGUGUGAAUUGCAGCCAUCGUGAAUCAUCGAGUUCUUGAACGCACAUUGCGCCCCUCGGCAUUCCGGGGGGCAUGCCUGUUUGAGCGUCGUUUCCAUCUUGCGCGUGCGCAGAGUUGGGGGAGCGGAGCGGACGACGUGUAAAGAGCGUCGGAGCUGCGACUCGCCUGAAAGGGAGCGAAGCUGGCCGAGCGAACUAGACUUUUUUUCAGGGACGCUUGGCGGCCGAGAGCGAGUGUUGCGAGACAACAAAAAGCUCGACCUCAAAUCAGGUAGGAAUACCCGCUGAACUUAAGCAUAUC
rnacentral:misc_RNA from 1 species